UUGGAGCCAGGAAGCAGAGCAGUGGAGAAA
rnacentral:piRNA from 1 species